UGGCUGACUGUUCUUGUUAACUGAAGUAUGUCAACCCAGAAUGUGAUUCUGUGCUUAAAAGCUCACCCUGAGAAAGGCUCAGUGCUGCACUGGGAUCCUGAACACCCAGAGUAGUCGCUGGUUGACUAAUAAAGACCUUCUAUUGGCCACAACCCAUUUCUGAGUAGUCUUCUCUGGUGGAUACCCCAAAACAGUUACCGAGUUUCUGUUGUGUGGAGAAAACAACAACAAAAACCUGUGCUUUGAAAACAGAGGAGGACCAGGCCUAUAACUCAGUGGUCAAGAGCUUGCCUAGCAUGCCCAAGGUCCUGGGUUUGAUGCCUAAGAUGAGAAAAGAGGGGAGGGGAGAGACCACCUCCCCUCCUGUGCACUCCUGGCAUCAACACCCCCAUCAGGAGGAAGAAUGAAACCAGUUGAUGAAGGUCCACCAGGAAAUGCUGAGGGACGGUGAAGGAAAGGGUCACUACCUCACAUUAGCUAGGGGGCAGCUAGUGGUGGCUCGAGCCCGGAGGAGAAUGAGUACAGAAAGCAGGCAUGCAGGAAAAGGAACUCAUAGCCUUUUCUUCCUCCUGCCUUGGAAAGAUCACAAGCCUCAGACAGCCAUUAGGGCCAGGGCCGGGCCCCAGGAUAACACCGGGGAUCCCAGAGUCCUGCUGGCUGAACAGGAGUACCUAUGCUUGCUCUCCAAGCUGAUUUCUUCCCAUACAGCAGCCUCCUUCAAAGACUUUCCUAGGAAAUACCUGACUGAAGGAGUCCCCCCCACCCCAGGGGUGCAGGAAGCAGGGCUGGCGCCAGUUCCUGCAAGGUCCCUAGGGCUCUGCCCUGAGGGUCACUGACUCUGUGAUUUUAAUAUCACCAAGAGAAAGACCACAUAGGCUGAGGCCUUGCCCCUUCCCUAGAGCACACAGCAUAGCUAAUUCGUAAAACAGACUGCUUCACCAGUGCCAUGUGAAUUCCAAAGGCAAGGUUGUUAGAAAUAUUAGCUAGUUAGGUUAUGAGUGUAAGUAACAAAUAUUAUCACUGAGGAUAUUAGUAAUACAAAGCAGACACUGGAGGAUGUGUAAGCUGGGUGUGGUGGUGCACUCCCAUAACCCCGAUACUUGAGAGGCAGACACAGGAGGAUCACUGCAAGUUGGAGGUUAGCCUGGUCUACAUAGUGAGUGCCAGGCCAGCCAGGGCUAAAUAGCAACAUUCUGUUUCUCAAACAAACAAGCAAACAAAAAACUCAAGUAAGACUAAUUCGUGAAAUAUGUAAUAAAGGUCACAGUAGGUGAUAACCUCGGAUCAUUUUCUAUGUAGCAGGCAAUGUCCUACGUGCAUUUACUUGCAUCUCACUAUGUAACCCCGGCUGGCCUAGAACUUGGGGUGAUCCUCCUGCCUCAGCUUUUUGAGUACUGCAUUAACAGAUGUGUACCACCACCUCUGGCUUCUACAUUUCCUACUUGAAUUUUUUGUUUGAACACAUUAGUUCCCACAGCACCCAUGAGGUAGGGACUAUCCUUUCCGUUGUUCAGAAAUUGGGGCACAGAGAGCUUGAGCAAACUCCCAAGAUAAGGUAGGGUUAGGAUUUAAAAGUGGACAUUCUGUUUGGUGACAGCCAGAGCAGGAACAAGUAGAGAGGAGGAGAGAAGCAACGGGCAGUGUAGAUGAGUCAACAUCUGGAUAAGAGUCCAGGGGCCAGCAAAUGGAGGGGAUGAAACGUUUCAAGCCGAGGGUGAUAAAAAUCUGAAAAAUUAAAGGUGAGAGUUUCCAGACUGACAGAGCAGCCUAAAGAAGACAGAUAAGGAAAAGCCCAAAUCCAGACACGUGCCUCCAGGUUGACAGGGAGAGACUAGCUAGCAUGUGUGAAGCUGUGGGUUGGAGCUCCAGUACAGCAGAAACCAUUCUUAUAACCUUAGAACUUGAAAGGUGGAGAUGGGGGAUCAGGUGUUCAAAAUACUCUUUGGCUACGUAACAAUUUUUUUUUUUUUUUUUGGUUUUUAGAGACAGGGUUUCUCUGUGUAGUUUUGGUGCCUGUCCUGGAUCUCACUCUCUAGACCAGGCUGGCCUCGAACUCACAAAGAUCUGCCUGGCUCUGCCUCCCAAGUGCUGGGAUCAAAGGCGUGUGCCACCACCGCCAGGCUACAUAACAAGUUUGAGGAUAGCCUGAACUACAGAUUUUGCCCCUGCCUCCAAAAAGAGUGCUGGAAGAACAGCUAUGCCCAAGACAACAGAAAAAGUUUAUGCAAAGAGCUCAUUUUCUUCAAAGUCAGAGUAGCUUGACCCCACACGUUUAUGGGGCUGGGAGUGGGGGACUUUGAAUCUUGGGACUGAUGGUGGAUAGAGUUUGAGACUGAACAAGUCUUUUGUGCCUUGAGUCUUCCAGCCAAUCAAACAGUCCCUUUCUCCCUCUGCAUUCCACCUGCUGUGGGUGCUCUCCUCUGUUCCGGAAGUCUGGCUGCUCUGGGAUGAAACUUUGUUCCUAUCACAGCCAGAACACGCCACUCCUCCCUGCAACUCCAACGAAAUGAUUCACAGUCAGGCUGGGAUCCCUUGCCCAUCAGUCUAGCUUGAAUGCCAUGGUUCUGACUUAUCCCACCACAAGCUGACUCUGCUGAGUUCUGCUUCGUUGUGUACAGCUUAGGCUCAGCUCCAUUUUCUGGGCACAGGCUUUCCCACAGCCUUCAAAGUCAUAACCCUGGGAUGCCGAGGCGUGGAGAGCUAGAGAGUGAAGAAAUGAAGAGCAGCUGAGUGAGUUCCCAGCAGAAGUCUUGAGAAGAGAAGCUUCCAGAGAAGGAGGAAGCAGGUUAAGAAUGAGGACCCUUGGUGAAGGUAUGAGCAUGCUGAAGGACGGAGGAUCUUUUAGGUUUAUGAGGUCGGAAACAGAGGUGCCUCUGAAGAUGGCCUGAUCAUCCUGGAGGGACUCAGGGAAGUGAACAAAAUAUGUCACCACUCAGACAUGUGCCUCUUAGACAAGAAGAGGAAGACCCAAGCUGUCAGUCGUGGAUGCUCUGAGAAUUAGAAAUGGAGGCACUAUGUAGGCAUUUGGGAUGGGGGAUCUACGUUCCACAAAGCGCUAGGGUCAUUGCUACUUCAUUUGAAGGACUUCGUUUGCCAUCUUCUGCUGGGAUUGUGUUUCCCGUAAGAAAAGAACAUGCCAAGUAACUAGAUGAUGUUUGUUUUUUUGUUUGUUUGUUUUUACAGAGCUUAAAGAUAACUUAGAAAAAAUAUUUAAAAGACACAAGCCUCUAAGUAGAUGAUCAACGCGUGUGUGCAUACAUGGGUGUGCAUACCCUUGUGUGUGUGUGUGGAGUCAGAGGACAACAUGCAGGAGUUGAAUCUCUCCUUCCACCGUCUGUGUCCUGAGGCUCAAACUCGGGCUGUCACGUGUGGCAGUAGGUGCCGUUAUCAGCUGAGUCAUCUCACCAGCUCACGGAUGUGGAACCCUGUUUCUCCAGCACCGUGUCUGCCUGCAUUCCACCAUGUUCCCCACCUUGAUGAUAAUGGACUAAACCUCUCAAAAGGUUGGCUGGUGAUGGCCAGGGGCAUUGUGCUGUGGCAUUCAGGGCUGAGUUCAGCUGGCUGGAAUGUUAACUGAUGGCUUCACUUUUAUACCUUGCGUCUCACGGGGGUGACUGCUGGGCUAGUCAAGCCUUUCUGUGCACGAAGGUAAGGACUUCACACAUGGCGGCAACAGUUUCCAAGACAGUUGCAGUAGAAAAGGCCUGGAGUUGGGCCAGCAUCACAUUCUUGGCAUUCUCGUGAUCGAGCAAAGUUAAAAGGCCAAUUCAGUUUAGAAGGAAGGAAACAGAGUCCGAUUAUACAGGACAAUGAGUGUUAGAUACGGUUAGGACCCACGACAUUUCAGGUGAAAGAUGGUACAGCUUGGGCUAAGCUGGUGGAGUCUAUGGAGACUAAUUGUAAUCUGAGUGUGUUUUGGAAUUAGAGCCUGUAGUCCGAGUGGGUGGCCACAAAAAAGCAAUGUAGACUAAUGGUUUAGAACCACCUUUAUGGCGAGGCAGUGGUGGUGCACACCUUUAAUGCCAGUACUUGGGAGGCAGAGGCAGGUGGAUUGCCGAGUUCCAGGACAACUUAAUCUACAGACUGAGUUCCAGGAUAGCCAGGGCUACAUAGAGAAACCCUACCUCAAAAAGACAAAACAAAACAAAACAAAAACAAAAUGAUGUUAUCCACAGUUCUGGAGGUUGGCAGCAUGGUCAUGUUCUGGUGGACUUUCUCUGGCUUGCAUAUAGACACCUUCUUAGCCAUGUUUUUGCAUGGCCUGUUUUGGGUGUAUAUGUAAAACAAUUUCUUUUUUUUAAUUAUUACUACUACUACUACUAAUUUUUUUUUUCUUG